UUGUGGAAAUGGAUAGUCGCCGUCGUUUCGCACGAGGGAGGAAAGUCCGGACUCCGGGGAGGAAAAGUGCCAGAUAACGUCUGGCGGUGCCGAAAGGCGCUAGGGAAAGUGCAACAGAAAGUAUACAAGCCUUCUGGCAAUGGUGAAACGGCGAGGUAAGAGCUCACCGCGCAGCUGGUAACAGUUGUGGCAUGGCAAACCCCACUUGGAGCAAGAUCAAGAAGAAUAACGCCAAUCCUCCAGGCCAUGUUAUUCGGGUAGAUCGCUUGACGUUUGCGGCGACGCAAAUGCUAGAUGAAUGACUAUCGGGGCCAUAUACCCCACAGAAUCCGGCUUAUAGUUUCCACAAAAAC
rnacentral:RNase_P_RNA from 1 species